UCAAAUCCACCUGCCGUAGCGAGCUGCUCCGGGGGAAUCCGCCAGGCACACUCCCGGAGAGCUCGUUGCCGGAGAGGUCGAGAGAGCGGAGCGAAGGCAGCGACCAGAGGCCGUCGGGGAUGGGCCCGGCGAGGCGGUUGGACGAGAGGUUGAGGGAGACGAGCGAGGCGCAGGACGUGACGGCGGGCGGGAUGUAGCCAGAGAGCUGAUUGUGCGCGAGGGAGAUGGCGCGGAUGUAGCGGCAUUGGGCGAAGAGCUGGGCGGGGACGGGCGCGGCGAGGCGGUUGGAGGAGAGGUCGAGGGAGCGGAGCCGCGGGAGCGCGGCGAGGAGGUUUGGGAGCACGGGGCCGGAGAGGUUGUUGCGCGGGAGCGCGAGGGAGAGGAGCGCGUCGAGGCGGAGCAGCGCGGGCGGGAGGCGGCCGGAGAGCGACGCCGCCGGGAGCGAGAGCGAGGUGACGCGGCCCGUGCGCGCGUCGCAGCCGACGCCCGGCCAGGAGCAGGGGCGGUCGUCGUCCUCGGUCCACGUCGCCAGGCGGCCCGACGGGUCCGAGACGCCCGUCUUGAAGACCACCAGCGCGAGCACGUCGUCGGUGAGCGCGCUCGUCG
rnacentral:lncRNA from 1 species